CAGCAGCCGCGGUAAUUCGUAGGGUGCAAGCGUUGUCCGGAAUUAUUGGGCGUAAAGAGCUCGUAGGCGGUUUGUUGCGUCGGCUGUGAAAUCCCGAGGCUCAACCUCGGGUCUGCAGUCGAUACGAGCAAACUAGAGUGUUGCAGGGGAGACUGGAAUUCCUGGUGUAGCGGUGAAAUGCGCAGAUAUCAGGAGGAACACCGGUGGCGAAGGCGGGUCUCUGGGCAGCAACUGACGCUGAGGAGCGAAAGCGUGGGGAGCGAACAGGAUUAGAUACCCUGGUAGUCCACGCCGUAAACGUUGGGCGCUAGGUGUGGGGCUCAUUCCACGAGUUCCGUGCCGCAGCUAACGCAUUAAGCGCCCCGCCUGGGGAGUACGGCCGCAAGGCUAAAACUCAAAUGAAUUGACGG
rnacentral:rRNA from 1 species